rnacentral:lncRNA from 1 species
UAUACCCUUUAAAAAGGACGCUAAAGCAAAAAUAUAAAUCAACUUAGACUGAUAAAGUAUUCUUCAAAAACUUUGCUGUCGUUAAUUACCCUGCAAUAGG